rnacentral:tRNA from 1 species
GCCAGCUUAGCUCAACUGGGAGAGCAACUGAUUUGUAAUCAGUAGGUUAUGGGUUCGGGUCCUAUAGCUGGCA